CGUACAGAGGUUCCUCCACCUUGUAUUCUUAUUGAGAUCAUUUCAGGUUUAAGUAGACGUUGUUCUCCUUGAUAGAGAAUCCCACCUCUUUUCUAUGAACCCAAAGUCAACAUACCCUAGAUAUCUUAGCUUCUUUUAACCUGUCUGCUUGUGCAGAUCCUCCCCUGUGCAGCUGCAGAGCAAGGUACCAGGAUGUGGUUAGAUGUUUGGUGCUACACUGGGCUCUUAAAUACCUGAGUAUAGUCCCAAUCAGUUGGCAUAAAUACUUUCAAUUGGCUAUAAACUGUGCUGAGUGGUCAUCUCUGGUGGAUUCCUUGUAACAUUUUGGAAGCCCCAGUGAGAUCCCCAGACAGAGACUGGACUCUGACACAGGACUUGGGACUGCCAGGAAUGGGGAAGAGAGUACAAGCUGGAGAGGACUCCUAGAGGGUGAGCACUCCGAGAGGUUCCAGGGAGCUGGAAAAAUCCUGUGCAACUGUCACUGCUGAGAGUGCUCCAGAGGCGAUGCAGUCCCCAAAAGAGAAAUCAAAAGUCAUCUGCUCUGAACAUCUUGUAGUUCCCUGACCCACUUCCCCUCCACUCCCACUGUUAGGAGUCCCACAGGAAUACCAAGCUACACAACCACAACAGAAGUUAAACUUCUUUCCUGGUCAUAGUUUGUCUCCUUCUCUACCAAUGCCUUGGAUAAUCGGAAGAUCCAAACUCCUCCAUUUUUGGAUAUCCUGCAGGCCCUUUCAACCUAUGAGAAAUUGUUUUAAGGUAAGAGGGCAUUAGGAACCCCACCCCAUUACUGGGUAGAGUAAAAGUGGUAGGUCAGGUUACUUGAGGACCUGAUGAAUCAUUUGCUCAGUCUCUGGAAAAGCUCUGAGAGAAGUAUCAGAUACUCACUGCCAUACACCCAGACGUCCCCCAAAACCCAGCAGGCUGCUAAUUGCUGAUCCAGAGAUUUGAAGGGAUGACUGUGUCUCCACUUUUGGAAAUUUGUUCAGCAAGUUUACAACAGCCAAGAUUCAGCCAAAGACAGAAAGGGAAAGAAACUUCUGUGGGGGUGAUUGCUGCUGUUGGGGAAAACAAAUAUGAGAAGACAUGGGGGAAACAAAGCAGGAGAAGGGGUUCAGGGACUCACCAGCAAUUUUUCAUAGAGCAGAGUGUAGAUCUAAUGGAAUUUAGACAAAAAGAUUCACAAAGUACCCUGUUCCAGUGUGUAGAUGGCCUCCUCAUAGCUCCAACCACUGAGGAAGAACAUGGACAGGCAAUAGAAGUCCUUUUAGAGGACCUUGAAGCCCUGGGAUACUGAGUCUCAGCCAAGAAGGCUCAGAUGUGUAUCCCUCUGUUCAUAUACCUAUGCUACAACCUAGAGGAAGGAAAACAGAUGCAUGGACAUGUGGAUACAUAACAGCCAUGUUUCAGUUACCGUGUAAUCCCUUUCCCCCAUUAAAAACCAAGCACAUGAAUUUCUAAAGGAGGUUGGAUGCUGCCAGGUAUAGAUGGUGGAUUUUGUUGAUACAGCCAAGACCCUCUAUGCCAGCCCUGGAGAUACAUACACUUUGAGAUGGACUGAAACUGAGCAGAGGGCCUUCAGGCUUUGAAACGUGUCCUGGUGUCUACCCUAGCCCUGGCCCUCUCAGGGCUAAACCAUUAUUACUAAACCAUUCCACUUGUAUGUAGAUGGGGCCAGAGGCAUUGCCCAGAGGUUCUUUAUGCAAAUCCUGGGUCCCUGGAAAAGACCUAUGGCAAUCUGUUCAAGCGUCUUGAUCUGCUUGCAGCUGGAUGGCCAGCAUGUAUAAAGGCCACAGCUGCCACUGCCCUACUGGUGCAAGAAACUAAUUAACUUUACAGCAUGAAAUGUUCCUGACAGCCCCACAUUCUGUUGAAGUCCUCUUAAAGAGAGCACCUGAGAGAGGGAUGACUAAUUUUCAAGUGACCUGACACCAAGCCCUGCUUCAGGAUUGACUUAGUUAGGGUUUUACUGCUGUGAACAGAUACCAUGACCAAGGCAACUCUUAUAAGGACAACAUUUAAUUAGAGCUGGCCUACAGGUUCAGAGGAUUAGUCCAUUACUAUCAAGGUGGGAGUAUGGUAGCAUCCAGGCAGGCAUGGUGCAGGAGGAGCUGAGAAUUCCACAUCUUCAUCUGGCCCAGAGAGUGGCACUAUUAGAAGGUGUGGCCUUGUUGGAGUAGGUGUGUGACUGUGGGCAUGGGCUUUAAGACCCUCGUUCUAGCUUCCUGGAACCCAGUAUUCUGCUAGCAGCCUCCAGAUGAAGAUGUGGUGGGAGAAAGACUGGCUACCACCAUAUACAGAUAGCUGAUACACUUUCACAAUGGUCCAUGGGCUCAAUAUAGGGAAAGAAGAUUGCUAACUUCAGCAGGAAAAGAAAUAAAAAAUAGACAUCUUGAUUCUAUUGGAAGCUAUCUGGUUACCCAAAAGGGUGGCCAUUGUCCAAUGCAGAGGACACCAAAGGGGUGAUUCCCCAGAAGCCACGGCAAAAGAGAGGCUGACCUGGUAACCAGAGAAAUGGCCCCAGAACCAAUGGAGCCUCUCCAAGUCUUGGGAGUUCUGCUGGAGUUUAGUUUAUUGGACCACCUGGAGUAGACUGAGGUGUGGUUGGGGAUGGAGGGUGGUGCUUGACUGUGAGAAACAAGAACUGGCCAAACAAGAUAAGCAAGGAUGGUAAAGGUUGCCAGAUGUAGACCAACCUUUCUGGGAGUCUAGGGAAGUCAACUGGUUACAGAUCUCCACCAAAGCACAGGGACCACAGAACUGCCAAACUCCUCAGGUAUUACACUCAAAAUUUGGGAAGCCUGAUUAAUGACACCACUUUUAGAAUGUGCUACCUGGGUUCAGGUGAACCCCAAAGGGGGAAGGAAGAUCCCACAAGAGAUCUGGGCUUUGGGAAAUGAGCCUGGGGAACAUCCAGAGUUGGACUUUACUGAAAUAUGACCUAAUGGUCUUGGCUAUAAAUAUUUUCUGGUAUUUGUAGACAUCUCCUCAGGAUGAGUGGAGGCCUACCCCACCCAAAAAGGGACCACACCAAUAGUUACUAAGAAACUUCUUUAGGAAAUAAUUUCUAGGUUUGAGCUGCCCCUAGCUCUGGGGUACAACAAUGGCCUGGCCUUCACAGCCAAAGUGUUUCAAAAUUUGCCAAAAGUAUUAAAUAUUAAUUAGAAAUUACACUGUGCACAUAGGUCACAGAGCUCAGGUCAGGUAGAAAGGAUGAAUAGAUCUCUUUAAAGAAAUUAUGACCAACUUGAUCCUGGAAACUUGAAAAAAAUGGGUCAACCUCUUCCCUUUGCUCUUCUCAGGGCCCAAUGCACUCCUUACCAGGAGGAGGUUCCUUCUUUUGAAAUUGUGUUUGGGACAGCAUCACUAUCUUGGUCCGUGUUCUAUCGGUGAGAAAAGACACCACAACUAUAGCAACUCUUAUAAAGGGAAGCAUUUAAUUGGAGCUUGCUUACAUUUUCAGAGGUUUAGUCCAGUAUCAUCAUGGUGGAGAACAUGGUAGCAUGCAAACAGAUAUGGUGCUGGAGAAUUUGAGAGCUCUAUGUCCGGAUCCACAGGCAGCAGGAAGACAGUAAGCCACCGGGACUGGCUUGGGUUUCUGAAACCUCAAAGCCCACCCCCAGUGACAUACUUCCUCCAACAAGGCCAUCAAUCUUCUAAUCCUUCUGAGUAGUGCAACCCUCUGAUGAGUAAACAUUUAAGAUAUGACCCUGGGGGGCAUUCUUAUUCAAACCAUCAGAACAUCCUAGUCUUCCCCAAAUUCUCAGAAAAUUCACCAGGCAAAAAUGUCUAACCACUCCUUUCUCAAGUCAUUGCAGACUUUGCAGAAAGCUCAAUAGGCCAUUGAAGGGAUUCCUGCCAUCUCCCGCCUCUGAACCUACCCACCGGUUCCAGCCAGGAACUGGUUUAGAUAAAGAGGAUCCCUGUCUGGACCCUGAAACCUACCCAGACAUCCUCAACACCCCAACUGCUGUCAAAGUAGCUGGUUUCAUCCCUUGAAAAAAGGCCAAUGAGGAUGACAACUGAGGGGUGGUUGCUUGGAUCUCAGACCCCUUAAAGAUAAGAGUGACCGGAGUUUACCAACCCAUGUUACACACAUCAGCGUCACACCUGGACAUGGAAGUUCAGAAAAAGCAAGGACGGGAAGCUCUGCCUUUCAGAUGGAUCUCUGCUGUCUUGUACCUCCUUCCAGGGGUAGAACAGUAUGGGUCGAGGAGAGAGAUGACAGUUGGGAAAUCAGGUUUCAACAUCCUUAAUUUAACUUUUGCAGCCAGGUCCUCUCCUGGACUCUGAGAAUUUUUGAAUGAUAAGGGAACAACAGAGUGGGGAAGUUGCAUGUAGUCUAUUAAGGCAUAACAGGAAAUUGGUUAUAUUUUAUAGCUUACCCACCUUGGUUUAGAUAACAGCACUUUCUAUAUUCUUUACCAGUUAAUAGACAAUUAAGAAAACAUUUGGAGAAGUGGAAUAGGUGUUUGUGCCCAGGAACAUGAACUUGUUUGACCCUGUCAGCAAGAUGAAGAAUUUGUUCUUGAGAUGGCUGGACUCAAACAACUGUUCCCUUACAUGUUAUCGCUGAGAUGUCAGGACUCAGACAGCUGUUUACAACAGAAGCUGUUCAGCUGUAGGGAAGUCCCCAGCUUCUCUUAGAGCCUGGGACUUUGAAUUCGGUUUCUCUCUAUGAUUCAAUGGAGUCUGGAAAUGAAGUGGUAGUACUUAGAACAAGUUUCUUUUGCUUAUUCUCAACAGUAUUAGUCUCUGUUUGCCUGGUCCUCAUGGCUGACCAUCAUACUUUAAAUAUUAGUGGCACCAUUGAGUCAAAUUCUGAUCAGGCUAAGAGUAGGACCCUGGAUUCUCAACUGCAUGGUCAACUACAUCAAACAGAGUGUAAACUCAUUAUGCUACUGGUCCUCAGGACCAGCUGUGUCCUCCUAGAAAAAGACAAACAAUUUGGCUCAUGCCCAUAGAACUUGAGACUGAGACUGGACGAGAGAGUGCAGAGGCUCUGUCAUCUUAUAUUCUUGGUAAGGCCAUUUCAGGUUUAACUUAAUUUCCUUAAUGGAGAAUCCCAUGGCAAAUUACUCAACUCUAUUCCAGGAACCCAAGGUUAAGAUUUCUCAGCUAACUUAGCUUCUGUUAAACUGCUUGCUUGUGGAAAAACCUCCCCCUGCAGCUGUGAAGUAAUGUGACUUUUAACUUUAAAAGCCUUUGCUCUAAAUGGUCAAAGCUACACUUGGUUUCCCAAAUACCCAAGCAUAGUCCCAGCCAGUGGAAUAAAGACAUUCAAUUGGCUAUUAAAAACUGUAUUUGAGCAGUCAUUUCUGGUGGGUUUCCUUUUACACUACCAUAUUUCAGUGUGAAAUUCCAUCUCUUGGUGGCUGUAGUUCUAGAAACAAAGCCUGCCACUCAGGUGAACAAGAAAGGGAUGCUCAGUCUGGCUGUGGGCUGGGGAUGUGGCUUAGUGAUUCUGCCACGGAGAGUAGUGUAUAGAAGGUCCUGGGUUCAAACAGCAAUGAGGCAGUCUAGGAGUCUUGAUUGGGUUCAUUUUCUCUGACAGAUAAACGAUUACAAGCUAAGAAAAUAUCUCUAUUGAGACAGGUAGCAAUGGAGAAAUCUAGAACACAGCAUACAGGAGCUGACAGAAUCAACAGUUGAAGAAGGUGCUUGGUGGGGUUGAGUGGUGGGGUUGAGGAAGCAGACACAGAAAGAAUCUCUACAAAUCAGGGUGGGGGGUGGAGGGGACUUGGAAAGUUGAAACAUCUACUCUCAUCUAAAGAGCUGGGUUUUUAAAAGUCUCCAAGGAAUUUUUCUCCCUGGAUUUAGGGUUGGUCAGUUUGAAGAAAGAUAGGAUAGUUGAUUAACCCGCAACUCUUGUAAAACAAAUCCUGAUCAAGUCUAAAACUUGUUGGGUCAGUCCAGCAGUAGUGGGCCUUCUAGCUGGAAGAAGGUUUAUAAGACCUUUAAGCUACCAGGUGAGGAAGAUGAGGAAGAAGACAGCUGCCUUAAAAGCUCACCAUCUUUAUUACCUAGUUUUGGCCCUUCUCUGUCUGUCUAGUAGGGAAAUCUGUCUCCUCAGUCUCUCACCAGUUCUGAAAAGAAAGAACACAUUUUUUUUUUCUGGAAGCUCCUCAGAAUGUUUUCUACUACUGGGCAGAAUCAUGUCAUGUGGUCUUGCUUGUAUCAAGGGAGGCUGGGUGACUGUCUUCAUUAUAAGCCUUGUUACUGAGAACAAAAUCUGGGCUUUUCCUUCAAGAAAGGUGGGGUGGCUGCACAGCUAAGCCACAGAGUGCAUGGACACUGCCCAUCAAUUGUGUGGGCUGCUUUCAUCUUCCUUAAGGUCACAUUGCAUUAACAUUGCCCACACAGGGAGGGACAGAUUUGCUCUAUAGAGGGAUUCACCAAAUUAUUCAUUCAUUAGCAACUUAACUCACAUUUUCAAACCCUUUAUGCUUGCCAUAGGGAGAUCAAUGAUGGACAAAACAGAUAUGUUUCCUAGUCCCUGACUUCACACAGUAUCUGGUGUCAGUAAGAAGAAAAACUCGACAAUGUAUCUGAUUCCAUCCUGACAGAGGAGUAAGGUUUUCUUUUCUUUUUUAAAGAUUUAUUUGUUUGUUUUAUUUUUUUUUAUUAUUAUUAACUUGAGUAUUUCUUAUAUACAUUUCGAGUGUUAUUCCCUUUCCCAGUUUCCGGGCAAACAUCCCC
ensembl:lncRNA